AAAGUUUGAAUUUGAGCCACACAGAGAGAAGUUGGAAGAAACAGCAUUUGAGAGAACCUAAGCAGCUACUAGAGAUGCCAGCUGGGAAGAAAUCCAGGAAAGAAGAAAUGACCAGGACACGUACCUUCAUUGUCAAAUUAAUAGAAUAGGAGGAAAUAGAAGCACAGAAGGGUUUAAGUGGCUGCCUAAAAUCGCACAUCUUAUACGUGGAUUUGAGCAUCUCUCUCUCUCUCAAUCAUCUCAUUAACCUGUAUUCUGAUGAUUUGACAUCUUCUGAGGUUGCCAUCAAUAUGAAAACACCCUCAUAGAGAAACUGUGGACUCCCAAGGUGCGGAUGCUCAGGACUCUUAGACUCCAGUUUGAGAAACUCAGUAAGAUCAAUCUCCCUGUAGCAUCAGACACAUCUUAUAUCUCUUCCUUACAUCUCUUACACCUUGAGCCUAAUUUGUGUGGGCUGAUCCACCCACAGGCUGUGCCCGUUACACUCCCUUCUUAAACUUCUCUUGGUACCUGCUCCUAGACGUGCCACUUUCACACGGGCCACUGGCUCUAGAGGGCAGGUGUGUGGCUCUGGCUGUGCAGGCUCAGAGCCACUCUGACUGUCUGCCCUCACCCCCACCACCACCUCUCUCAA